UACGUAGGGCGCGAGCGUUGUCCGGAUUCAUUGGGCGUAAAGAGCUCGUAGGCGGCUUGGCAAGUCGGGUGUGAAAACUCCAGGCUCAACCUGGAGACGCCACCUGAUACUGCCAUGGCUAGAGUCCGGUAGGGGACCACGGAAUUCCUGGUGUAGCGGUGAAAUGCGCAGAUAUCAGGAGGAACACCGGUGGCGAAGGCGGGUCUCUGGGCAAUAACUGACGCUGAGGAGCGAAAGCGUGGGGAGCGAACAGG
rnacentral:rRNA from 1 species